UUUGCUUAUUCCUUUUAAUUUUGCUCUGGUUACUGAUGGAUUUGGUUACUGAAUGCUUGGUUCUUCUUCUUCCUUUUAAUUUCUGAAAUUUUUGCUCAAAUAUUGUUGCUAAUGUUCUUCUUCUUCUGCCUUGCUAAUGCUUUGUUUAAUUUAGUAUUGUUUUGAACUUUUGAAUUUCUACCUUGAUAAUGCUCUGUUUAAUUUUUAAAAUUUCAUUCAGUGUUUAAUAUUUAAUUUAGUGUCAUCACUGCCUUACUGAAUGGUGUUGCUGUUCGAUAAUGUACUGGUGUUGCUAUUUUAGUGUUUUAUAAUGUACUGCUGUUUUCAGUGUUUUGUAAUUACUGAAUGGUGAUUGUUGAGUUUAGAUAUGGUGUUGUUGAUGAUUAACUUAGUGUCACCUUUUAAAUGUUUGUUCUUUGUUGCUGAAUGCUACUGCUGUUUAGAUAUGGUUUUGUACCUGUUGAUAACUUAUACCGUGUUGUUUGUGCUGAGGUUUUAUGUUGUUGUAUACUUGUUUUUUUCACAGCUUCAUGUUUUAGGAAUGGUUUUUAUUGGCCUCAUUUUUUAAGUGUUUGUUUUUUUAUAUAAUAAUUUAUUCCUAUUUCAUGGUAUGAAUCUAAAUUAAUUUUUCACUUAGGUAGUUGUUAUGUUUAUCAGCAAGCUUCCAAUUUGUUUCUGUAGUACCUGCCUCUACUUUUUAAUUGUUGUACAAAUGAAUGUGUGAUAUAUGUUGGUUGUCUCUUCUUUUUUACCUCUUGUUGACUGUGGUAGAGUUGCUUGUUUGUUUAUAGGAUUUGGAGCAUUUUCCAAUUGAGAUUAAUUGGUUAUGUAUAACUUAUUCAUAACGUUCACAUACUAAAUCAUGUUGCUGUUUCAACCUAGUUGAUGUGUCAUAUAAGCCGAGUUUACCAGCUAUUGUUAUUUUAAUUGCUAUCCACCUGUGUAUAAGAAUGCUUAUGGGAUUAUAGUCUUCUUGUCUUGGAUAUAAAUCCUGAAAUCCUAAAAUGCCAAUAAAUUUGAAAUUCUUGUUGUAAUAUUUUAUAUUUGUAAGAUAUUUUAAGAUUUAUAUUAUUCUAUAAUUAUAUUUUAAAAUGUUUAUUUAUAAUUUAUUUAUUAUUUUAUUCUAAAGCGGUUUUUCUGGUUGAACCACGGUUGAACUGGUUGGACCAGUAAAUCAGUGAACCAGGAACUAGAACGGUUUGAUGACCGGUCUGGUUCUCAAAACCUUGGUGAAAACAUGCUAUUUUGUGCUUAAUAUAAUCACUUUUAUCCCACUUUAUUCCAUUCGAUGCCUUGAUGGUUUUGAUGAGUGAUUUCAGGUGUAAUAGGUUGGAAUGGCUUGAUGAGAGUGGAAGAGAAGCAUGGAAUUGGGAGAAAACAAGAAGAAAUCAAAGGAGAAAAGCAUUUCAGCCUGUACUCACGCACACCUUCUGUGCCCACGCACAAGGGUAAAAAUUAGCACAUGUGCCCAUGCACAGGUCUGUGCCCACGCAGAGGAGGAAAAUCAGCAUGUAUGCGUACGCACAAGUCCCAACGCGUGAUUCAUUUAUUGCAAAUCGCUGGGGGCGCUUUUUGGGCCUCUAGAGCCCAGUUUUGGACUUCCUAAAGCUGAUUGAGUGCUAUAUCAAAGGGGGCCUCCAGGCCUGUGCAUGGGCACACUUGUAUUCAAGGCCUCUAUCCGUGGCGUUUGCACACAUAGUGCAAACGCACAACUCUACAAUUUUGCGCACCACGCGUACACGUCCCUCACGCAUACGCGUCACUUUCCAUUUUCUCUCUUUCACGCGUAUGCGUCGAUCUCCAUUUUCGCAAGCACCAUGCGCACGCGUCUCCCAUGUGUACACAUGGGUCCCUCCCCUGUUUCACACUAUUCUUUUCUUCUCUUCUCUCUACUUCUUCUCUUAUUUUCUCUUCUCCUCUCUUCUUUCCCUCCUCCAACCACCAUUUUCCACUAUCAUUCACCACCCACCGCACUUAUCUUUAGUUAGUUAUUUAGUUAGUUAGUUAGUUAAGUUAUUUGUUUAGUUAAUUAGUUUAAAUUUCUGUUUUGGUGCUACGUGUUGGAUAAUUGAGUUGAAUUGUUGAUUCUGUGAGUUUGAAUUAUUGAUAUUUUUAUUGCUAUUUAUUAUUAGAUAUCUUCAUUGAGGUCAUAUUUUGUUGCUUGGCAUUGAGUUCUUCAUGUUUAAUUUUGUGCAUACCAAGUACUCAUAACAUUGCCUUUGAGAAUGCUUUUGGAUUUCUAAAUUGCAUGUUUUGGCCACCAUUUAAUUUGAUUCAUUAUCUAUAGUUAGGCAAUUCGUUCUUUCUGGAUGCAUUUUUUUGUUAGAUGAUGCUUGUUAUGAUUGAUUUUUAUUUAAGUCACCUAUUUGAUGCAUUAACAUUAAGAAUUGUGAAAUUGGAUCAUAAGCUUACCUAAUGACACUUUUUGAGUUUUUUAAACUUUGUGGAUUAUGCUUGACAUGUUUUCCACUUCGUGUCACUUAGGUGUUGCUGCAUUAUCCAAUUCACAAUUCUUUGAUUCUUACUUGAAUACUUUUAUGCUCCUUUAUUGCUUGUUUGUUUAUCUUAACAUACAAGUUUCUUUUUUAAAGUAUUUCAAACACACUAUAUUGAGUGAAGUGCAUGCUUAUUUUGUCUAAUUGUGACAUAGCUUUCCAUGCUAGUGUGUGUGUUCUAAAUCGCACAACUUAGAAUUCACACACUUGUUUCCUUCAUGUCACAAACUUAUUCACUUACUCAUUUUAGUGAUUAUUGCCUCAUUCCAACAAUCCAUGCUUCCUUGUUUUUGUAUUUACUUGUAUUUCCAUCCUAUUUUCUAUUUUUCAUAGAUGAUACACCAUAAGCAACAAGGGAAGCGGGAAGAAGAGCACGCAACACUCGAUUGAUCCACUAGUUGGAGGUGGUAAUCCGAAGUCGCCAUAUCCCCCUUGCUCACCUUUGAUAGCACUGCGGACCAUGCAAACCCUUAAGUAUGGGGAGGUCGUCACCAAUCGACAAUCUUGGGAAUACUCUAGCGGUGGAUAAUCACUGGGUUCAGUCUAAUUGAUCCGUGAAUAAGAUUGUGUUUUUGUUGAUUUGGAGUUCAGUUGGACGGUUUGGAACGAAAUCCGGGUGAUUAAACUUGAGAAAUUGACAUUUGGAAGCUUGGAGUUUGCGAAAGGAGAGAUUUUUGAGGUGUUUCGAGCUUAGGGAGGAAUCGGACAAGGUAUAAUUUUGGUUUCUCGUAGUUAUGUUUUUAAUGUCACGUGAAAAUUUGGGCUAGAAGACCUUAAGAUAGGAAUGAAUUGAAUGAAUUAUUGAUGGAUUGUGAAUAUGGUUUAAGAUGCGUGUAUAAAGGAUGAAUAAAAUUGUAUGUGUUGGAUUAUGACUUUGAUGGGUAUAAAAUAAUGACGAUGGUUUGAGGAUUUAUAGUGAGUAUGUAAAAUUGAAUUGAAUGGAUUGAUUGAGAGAUGUGAGUGUCGAAUUUGUAAAUGGUUUGCUAUUGAAGUUGGUUGGUUUUUUUUAAAAGAUUUAAUAUUGGAAUUGGUUUGAUUUUGAAAUAAUUUGAUACUAUGAAUUAUUUGAAUGAUUGAGAGGUGUUUGGUUUGGUGGUUGGGACUCUUAAAGGGCGGUAAAAGUCCAAGUUUUAGAAGAAAUGUUGUCGAAAUUUUUAUGAAAAUAGGAGGCUUCGUUUGAAGUGGCUAUUUAGAAAGAUUUGAAUUUUUAAGGAUUUUAUAAUUUGAUUUUGAGUUAUUAAGAAAAGGAUUACGUUUUGAGUUUGUUUUAUUUAAAAAAGAAUGAAUUGUGUUUUGAGUAUGAAUUGUUGAUGAAUGAAAUGGGAGGUGUGAUAAUAAGGAAUGAAGGAUGAUGAGAAUUGAUUUUUAAGUCUAAUUGUUAACUGAAUAUUUAUGAAUUAUAAUGAUAAUGAGAUAUGUGUCACUGAGUAACAGACAGUGGCGUUGUCCAUUUGCUCCGAAAAAGGGAUGAGGAAGAAGAAUGAUGAGAACUGAGAUUGAUUAAGAAAUUAAAUGAAUAAGAAUGAAUUGUAAUGAUAAUGAGAAUGAAUUUCUGAAUGUGUCUCCGGGUAAGAUGCAAUGGUAUUAUUCAUUUAUUCCAAGUAAGUCAAUAAGCCGGGUAAGAUACAAUGGUGUUAUCCACUUGCUCCGAGAAAGAGUUCGAGAAUCUAGGUAAGAUGCAAGGGUUGAGUUUUGUCGCCGCUUACUCCGAAUUGAGAAUUGUAACACCACCUGGGUAAGAGGCAAAGGUGAAGUUGUCCCCUGCUCCGGGUACGGGGGUAAGAUGUAAGAGUUGCGGCGUUGUCUCACUUACUCUAUGUUUGGUGUUCUAUCCAGGGUUAGUUACCGGUUCAUAACAUUAUCCACAAGUGUCUUAUUUCUCUCUUCCAUUGAAUUCUCUUUACUUUGUUUGUCUCCAAUUUUUGAAAUUUUUUUUAGGAUGAUGUGCUAUCUUCACUUGAUUACUUUAUUUAUCAUUUUUAUAUAUAAAAUUUUGGACUAGUUUCACAGUAAAAAAAAUACUUUUUUUCAUUUUCAAACACAAUUGCAUACGCAUCUAAUAAGAAAAAAAGGUUAACAAAUAUGCAAAACAAAAUAUUCAGCAAAUCAAAUUUAAAACGUAAAAAUAAAGCAUGAAAUCUGACUUAUAUAUCAUAAAUGAGGGAACAAGUCACUCAAAAGUCUUCGGAAUCAUAUUUUUCAUCUGAUACUGUGUAAUACUCUUGAAAAAAAAUAUACUUCUUUUGCGACAUCGAUUAGAAUUUCAUUC